rnacentral:lncRNA from 1 species
AUGAAAUGAAAUAAAAUCAAUAAAAGAAAUAAAAUAUGGGAGAAAGCUUAUGUUUAGGAGGGGGGGAGGGAAGAGGUUAUGGUAAGGAACUGAUGGAGUGGCUAUGUUUUAGGACCGGGACGGAUGGAGGGGCGAGACGGAUCAUCAUUUAGGCCAAACGGGGCUAUGGAGGAAAGCCUAAAGAUCCACCUUCUCUCAGCAGCUCUCCUCUGGACCAGGGACCAACCGACAUUGGUCUCUAGACCGGACAAUGAAAAGUUGUUGAUAUGAUGUGAGAUGAAGUGAGUAUAGAGCCGUUUAUCAUUUGUUCCUUUCUGAAUAUGGUAAAUGUGUUGGCAUAACCUCUGUUUAAUAGUAGCUCCCGUUUCGCCCACAUAGACGGUCCUGCAUAGUUUGCACUGGAUGGCGUAGACGACAUUGCAGGAGAGUAGUGUGAAGGUCUGCGAGAUGGGGGCACCGGCUCGACAGUUGAAGAUGUACUUCAGGGAGAACGGGCCGGCCUGGCUGGAAGAGGGCGGUCACUUCCCCUUUAAUGGUCAGAAGAAAACGUUUGGAAUAGCCGCGAGGUCUAAGGGCCUUGAAAAGGGUCCUGGUGGCCUCCUCUACGUGAUGAGGUAGAGAGCAGAUGCGGUGGAAACGGAUUAGUUGUGACUUGAUGAUGGAGCUGAAAGUAUGCCGGGGAUGGUAGCUGGUGUUAAAUAAUAAGGAAUGCCUGUCAGUGUCUUUAAAAUAAACCUUGGUGGCUAAUGUUUUGUGUCCAUCCUUCGUCUCUGUGAAAAAAACUAUCGUGUCAAGGAAGGGGACCUGCCGAAGAUGGAGAGUGUGUUUGAGUUUGAUACGGGGGUGGUGUGAGUUGAGGAUAUGCAUAAAGUGGUUGAAUUCCGUUUCGGAUUUGUCCCAGAGUCCAAAGAUAUCAUCUAGAUAGCGGAAAUAAAUUAAGGGGCGUGACGGGCAUUUAAGAAAUGCAGAUUCCUCCCAGUCGGCCAGAUAAAUGUCCGCGUAGGC